CUAUUGAUGUAUAAUUUCAAAGUCCAGUUGAUCAGUUUGCACGAAUUCAGUACUCACUGUCUUUGUUAAGGGCACAGUCGCUGGACCUUCAAUAUUCGAUCAGGAGCAAUCUCUUGGGUCGGAAGUUGAAUAACCGAUGUGGUAGUACUGGGACGAAAGUGGUGGAGAUACGGAGAUACCAAAAGUUCUUUUCCUUGAUGGGUUUCCUUCUAACUUCUCUGUUUUCACCUCUCUGGCGAUCGGGGACCGACUCCGUCUCUUCUUUUUCCGCAACAAUCUACCGACCACCGACGCGGGCAGCUGAUCCCCUUUUCAAACUCUGCCGAGCCCGGGACCAAAAACGUGACAUUUCAUCCAAAUUCUCGGUCCACCGCGCUUUCGGGCUAUUGUUUAUUAUUUUCUAUUGCAGGUGGGGUCCACUGCGACCCCUCCUGCAGUAGAAAAUACUGCAGGAGGUGAACUG
rnacentral:lncRNA from 1 species